CUGGUUUUAUUCCAUAUAUGAAAAUCCUUUAUGUUGUCUCUUUUCCAUCUUCUAUUUUAAUAAGAUCCUGAUUGAUUUAAAUCCAGAAACUCUUUGUUUAGAUGUUGUGUCUCUGUUUGUCUCCAGUGCGCUGAGAGCAGAGAAAUCAUUUCCAUAGAGAGGAGGCUUUGCAUGGUCAGCUGAUCCUCCAGGGAACUGAGAAGGUUUAUAGUCCUGAGAGUUCAACACUGCAGGACUCUGAUCUGUCAGUCAAGCCAGCAGAAACAACAAGCACCAUGACUCUCAUCUCCAUCCUCAUCUGGACGCUGACCUGCUGCUGUUUAACAGGAUGCAGCGCUCAGGUGACUGUGAUUCAGCCUCCAGUGGAGACAUUUACUCCAGGAUCAACUGUCACUAUUCGGUGUACAACAAAUCCUGCUGUUUACACAUUAUUUGAUAAUGAGUUUAUGUCCUGGUAUCAGCAAAAACCAGGACAGCCUCCAAAGCUCCUGAUAUAUCAGGUGGAAAACCUUGAGGAGGGAACACCAGAUCGGUUUAGUGGCAGUGGAAGCAGCACUGACUUCACUUUGACCAUCACUGGAGUUCAGGCUGAAGAUGCAGCAGUUUAUUACUGUCAGAGCCUACAUGAAGUAAAUGAUGUGUGGGUGUACAAUUUUGGUGGAGGAACCAAACUCAUCGUUGACUUGGGUGUGGUGCGUCCCACCCUGACCGUCCUCCACCCCUCCAAAGAGGAGCAGCAGCAGAGCAGUGUCACACUGGUGUGUCUGGCCAGCGGGGGCUUCCCUUCAACCUGGAGGCUGGGCUGGAAGGUGGGGGGCAGCAGCAGGUCCUCAGGGGUGUCUAACAGCCUGGAGGUCCUGGGGAGGGACGGCCGCUACAGCUGGAGCAGCACCCUGAGCCUCCCUGCAGACCAGUGGAGGAAGGCGGGCUCAGUGAGCUGUGAGGCCAAUCAGAGUGGACAGAGUCCUGUCACUCAAACCCUGGACCCUAACCUCUGCUCAGAGUAGAGCUGCAGCUUCUUGUCUGGAAAUCAUGUUCUUGUA